UCCAAUGUAUGAAUGCGUUAGGAAUUAUAAUUUGGACAAGCCAUAAAUUGUCCAUUCAAGCAAAUAGCAUUCGGAAUGACAAUGAAACAUUGAUUUGAAAGGCGCGGGGAUAGAGAUAAACUUUUCAAAUGGUCAGUAACUGACCACCAGUUAGGUUGACAGGUUAAAUUUUCAACAAGAAAUUUGAAUUUCAAACAACCAAGUUUUUCGGUCAAGAAAAGUUCUUUCUGUAUCUUUUAUCGUGUGGUUUAUUUUUUAGAUUGUUUUAUGUAACUUUCAACAAUGAAUAUCAAUGAUUUGCCUGAUGAUUGUUCACUUUUGAUUUUUGAUCAGUUUUAUCAAUUGCGACAAUUUGCUACAUUGAUGAAAAUUUGUCGUCGCUGGAAGAUAUUAGCGGAAAAGAGACUGAAGAAGAUCACUCACUUUCAUGUUACAUUGGCCACUCGAUUAAGGCGGAUUGAUCAUUCGCUUGAACAAAAUCAUCUUCCAUUAGCUCGUAAAUGUAACAUCACAAUAAGCAGAAAGUUCUUGAUGAAA